rnacentral:sRNA from 1 species
GUCCGGGUGCUGAGACACGCCCAUGCCUGUGUUUGCUGUAUGAAUGAGGGUAUGGAGGAGUGAGUCUGUUCCACAAGGGGAGAGGAACUUAGGGAAAGAGAUGUGUUCUCCUUGGAGGCCAGAAUGCCACAUGCGUGCUGGUUUAGUCGGUGGAUCCCAGUCUUGCUGGCACAACUGGUCUGUACUGCCGCAGCUUGCACGGGGACACCAGGUGGCGCUGUCGUCUAUCAGCUAUGUGGGCUGCUCCCUCUCCGUGCUCUGCCUGGUGGCCACGCUGGUCACCUUCGCCGUGCUGUCCUCCGUGAGCACCAUCCGGAACCAGCGCUACCACAUCCACGCCAACCUGUCCUUCGCCGUGCUGGUGGCCCAGGUCCUGCUGCUCAUUAGUUUCCGCCUCGAGCCGGGCACGACCCCCUGCCGGGUGAUGGCCGUGCUCCUACACUACUUCUUCCUGAGUGCCUUCGCAUGGAUGCUGGUGGAGGGGCUGCACCUCUACAGCAUGGUGAUCAAGGUCUUUGGGUC